GUCACCUCAGUAGCACAUAUACUAAAACUGAAAUAAUGCAGAGAAGAUUAGCAUGGCUCCUGCACAAGGAUGACAUGCAAAUUCACAAAGGAUUAAAAGAAAAAA